UGAUAGAAAAUAAAUUUACCAAAUUAGUUCAUUUGUGACGUUGGUUGAUACACAUAACCUAUAUUGCGAUAAUCAAAAACCACAUUUUACGUUCGAAUGUCGUACAAAAACAAAAAACCCCUUAAAAUUGAAGAAUACCGCUUAUUCGAAUCAAAUUUGCUUAUCAAAAAAUAGCUAUUUAAAGUCGUGAAAACGCUUACAAAUUUGUAACUGAAAUUCUAAACCAAAAAAAAAAAAAAAUCGGAAAAGUGAAAAAUUACAAGAAAAAUUGUAAAAUUUGCUUCUUGGUAAAGUAAAUUUCGUCAUAAUUCGCGUUAUACCCAAAAAAAAUACGGAAGGAGAAAUUAAAAAGGAAAAUUGUGAAAACGGAAAAAUUAUAUGAUUGCCGGUUUAAAAAAAAAAAAAAAAAAACAGUUAUAAAGUGAGAUUUUUUAAAUUCCAAUAUAUGUGAUUUUAAACCUCCUUCUACCGAAUUUCGUUUUCCCGUUCGGCAAAGUCCAAAAAACUUUCUAUUUUAACUCCCCUUUUGUUCUUUGCAUCAUGUCAUUUACUCUUAAUACUUAAUUUGUUGUAACCUGCAGUAAAACAAAAAAAAAAAAAAAAAAAA